GUCUACAGGCAUACCACUCUGAAGGCAUCUGACCUGGUCUGAUCUCAGAAGCUAAGCAGGGUCCAGGCCUGGUUAGUACUUGGAAGGGAGAAAAGUCAAGGGCGCUAAAGGCU
ensembl:rRNA 5S_rRNA 5S ribosomal RNA